AACAUAUACUUUAAGUAACAUAAACACUUACUUCAAGUACCAUAAAUACCAACUUUACAUACCAUAAGCACUUAAGAUACAAACCAUAAACACCUUCAAUUUCACAUACUAACCAUUACAACACGUCAUAACACAUACUUCACAUACUAAAGAUUCCUACUUCACGUAUCAUACAUACCUACUUUACAUACUAAGAAACCCUAAUUUAUAUAUCAUUAACACCUACUUUAAUUAUUAUAAAUAGGAAAAGAGCAAAGAUUUUAGAGGCCCUAUUUAUUUUUGCGAUAUAUUUUAAAAUGAAGCCCUUCAUUAUAUUAUAAGAUAAAAAAUUUUCCACUUUAAGAAAAAUUAUUCAAGACAAAAUUUAUUGUAACAUUAUAUUACUUCAAAUAUAAAAAAGGUUUACAAACAAAUCAUUUAAAAAUUGUUGCUCAGAACCGGGCUUGGAUAACACUAUUUAAUAUUUGAGGCCCCAUAUUUUUGGGGGCCCUAGGCGGUUGGCUACCCUGGAUACCUUAGACCGACCAUGGUUAUAAAUAUCUAUUUUGUAUAUCUUAAGCACCUACUUCAUAUAGAUUAAACUCCUAUUUAGAUAACAUCUUCAUAUGCAAGAAACAUCUACUUUAUGUACUAAAAACCUCUACUACACAUACUAUAAACUAGGGGUGUUCAAAAAUAUCCGGUUUCGAAAACCCGAUCCGAAAACCCGCUUUCCGAUUUUUAAAACCGGGUAAAUUACCCGGUUUUCCAAAUUCGGAUAUUUCGGGUCGGGUACCCGGUUUUAUAACCGGGUAUUCGGGUCGGAUACGGAUCGCGAAUUUUGGAGAACCGGGUACCCGGUAUCCGGUAUCCGGUUUGAGUAAUUUUUUUUUUUUUUUGUUUUUCAAAUGUGAAAAAUGAAAUUGAAAACCCUAAAAAUGACUUAAUGUAUCAGAUUUCUUAAUCUGGGCCGCCUCCUAUUCCAGUUUUCUUCCUUCUUCUUCCUCCUAUUCGCCAUUCCAUAUUCUUUCUUGGCUUCUUCUUCCUCCUUCAUUCUUGCUGCUUGCUGGCUGCUGCUUGCCUUCUUCCUCCUUCACCAUUCACGCCGUCAUCUUUAAUUGGAGAAGCUGCCUCUGAUUGUUCCCGAGUCCUUCUUCGACACUUAUGACUCACACCUUAAAUGAAUUGGGAAUCGGCCCACCCUUUCUACUUUCCGGAAGUGUUAGUUUUUACCUUUGCUACAUAACCUGUUCAUCAGUGCAGCAGGUUCGUACGAAUAUCGGUCUGUCUAGAUCAGUUUAGAAGUACAAAUGUUCUUUUACUGCAUGUCUUUCACUGAUUAUUAUGUGGAACAUUAUCGGCCCGAUUCAUGGUUGGCGAGGGAGGACAGAGGGGGCAAGUGCCUUUAUUUCGAGGGGGUUCGUAAUUUGUAUGUAGGAAUAUAUGUAGAUGUUUGUAUAGCUCUGUUAUUCAGGUACAAAAAAAAAGUGUAGAAAGAAAGGAACUCCCUUUUGUUGGUAAUUUUCUGUAUCUUAUUCAAAAUGUUGAAUUUCAAGGCAUUACUGGUUUGGAAUGGAUCA